rnacentral:rRNA from 1 species
GACGAACGCUGGCGGCGUGCUUAACACAUGCAAGUCGAACGAUGAAGCCCAGCUUGCUGGGUGGAUUAGUGGCGAACGGGUGAGUAACGCGUGAGUAACCUGCCCUGGACUCUGGGAUAACCCCGAGAAAUCGGAGCUAAUACCGGAUAGGACCUUGGAUCGCAUGAUUCUUGGUGGAAAGUUUUUCGGUUUGGGAUGGACUCGCGGCCUAUCAGCUUGUUGGUGAGGUAAUGGCUCACCAAGGCGUCGACGGGUAGCCGGCCUGAGAGGGUGACCGGCCACACUGGGACUGGGACACGGCCCAGACUCCUACGGGAGGCAGCAGUGGGGAAUAUUGGACAAUGGGGGAAACCCUGAUCCAGCGACGCCGCGUGGGUGAAGAAGGCCUGCGGGUUGUAAAGCCCUUUCGGUAGGGAAGAAAUCUCUUGUCCUAACACGACAGGAGUUUGACUUAACCUACAUAAGAAGCACCGGCUAACUCUGUGCCAGC